rnacentral:tRNA from 1 species
GCGCCAAUAGCUCAGCUGGAUAGAGCGCCACACUCCGGAUGUGGAGGCCGGGAGUUCGAAUCUUCUUUGGCGCGCCA